rnacentral:rRNA from 1 species
GACGAACGCUGGCGGCGUGCUUAACACAUGCAAGUCGAACGAAAAGGCCCUGCUUUUGUGGGGUGCUCGAGUGGCGAACGGGUGAGUGACACGUGAGUAAACUGCCCUUGACUUUGGGAUAACUUCAGGAAACUGGGGCUAAUACCGGGUAGGAGCUCCUGCUGCAUGGUGGGGGUUGGAAAGUUUCGGCGGUUGGGGAUGGAAUCGCGGCUUAUCAGCUUGUUGGUGUGGUAGUAGCUUACCAGGGCUUUGACGGGUAGCCCGCCUGAGAGGGUGACCGGCCACAUUGGGACUGAGAUACGGACCAGACGCCUACGGGAGGCAGCAGUGGGGAAUAUUGCAGAAUGGGCGGAAGCCUGAUGCAGCAACGCCGCGUGCGGGAUGACGGCCUUCGGGUUGUAAACCGCUUUCGCCGGUGACGAAGCGGGCGUGACGGUAAUGGGUCAAGAAGCCACGGCUAACUACGUG